GACGAACGCUGGCGGCGUGCUUAACACAUGCAAGUCGAACGGUAAGGCCUCUUUUGGGGGGUGCUCGAGAGGCGAGCGGGGGUGUAAAACGUGUGUAUGAUGCGCUUGACUUUUGGGUAAAUUCAGGAAACUGGGGGUAAAACAGGGGAGAAGCUCAUGCUGUGGGGAGGGGGUUGGAAAGUUUGGGCGGUGUGGGAUGGGCUCGCGGCUUAUCAGCUUGUUGGUGGGGUAUUGGCUUACCAAGGCGGUGACGGGUAGCCGGCCUGAGAGGGUGGACGGCCACAUUGGGACUGAGAAACGGCCCAGACUCCUACGGGAGGCAGCAGUGGGGAAUAUUGAACAAUGGGCGGAAGCCUGAUGCAGAGACGCCGCGUGGGGGAUGACGGCCUUCGGGUUGUAAACUCCUUUCACCAUCGACGAAGGGUUUCUGACGGUAGAUGGAGAAGAAGCACCGGCUAACUACGUG
rnacentral:rRNA from 1 species